UCCAAACCCGGUGAUGGGGUACCACCUUGAACCGCCAGUGCCUUUGGGGCGCUGCGCUGAUGACUCCUACGCCUAC
rnacentral:ncRNA from 1 species